GGCCUCCUGGCUCCUGGGAUUCACCAGUCUCCUCCUCAGCGUCUGCAGCACUGGGGUCAAGAGUUCUGGAGCACACAGUUUUGGAGGUCAGCAUUCUGGAGUUCACGUUUCUCUGAAGGGUAUCCGAGGAGGUUCUGUGUUGUUUCACGUGAUCAAGGAGCCAGGAACUGAGCUGGAGGAGAUUGUGUGGGGCUUUGGACCUGACUUAAAAUACACAGUCAUGCUGCGAGUCCGUAAUGGGUCA